GAUGAACGCUGGCGGCGUGCCUAAUACAUGCAAGUCGAGCGAACGGACGAGAAGCUUGCUUCUCUGAUGUUAGCGGCGGACGGGUGAGUAACACGUGGAUAACCUACCUAUAAGACUGGGAUAACUUCGGGAAACCGGAGCUAAUACCGGAUAAUAUUUUGAACCGCAUUGUUCAAAAGUGAAAGACGGUCUUGCUGUCACUUAUAGAUGGAUCCGCGCUGCAUUAGCUAGUUGGUAAGGUAACGGCUUACCAAGGCAACGAUGCAUAGCCGACCUGAGAGGGUGAUCGGCCACACUGGAACUGAGACACGGUCCAGACUCCUACGGGAGGCAGCAGUAGGGAAUCUUCCGCAAUGGGCGAAAGCCUGACGGAGCAACGCCGCGUGAGUGAUGAAGGUUUUCGGAUCGUAAAACUCUGUUAUUAGGGAAGAACAUAUGUGUAAGUAACUGUGCACAUCUUGACGGUACCUAAUCAGAAAGCCACGGCUAACUACGUG
rnacentral:rRNA from 1 species